rnacentral:lncRNA from 1 species
UCCAAGGUGUAUAGGUCCUUGAACAAUGUCUCCAUAGAGUCGAUCCAUGACUCCACCGCCGCCGGUUCACCACUCCUCCUUCAAAGAUAGGUGGAUUGAACUUCUUGAAUUGAAUAAGAGCCGCUAACGCGCACUCCCGCUCCGCCUCAUCCGCCGCACUAUCGGGGUUUGAGGUCCCCGAGCCAGCCGGCACCACCGUAACAGGCACGGCUGCCGCCGCCACGCCCUCGGUCGCGCUCGGCACCACUGCAGGGGGCGCAGGGUGCACGGCCUCCACGGGCGCCGCCGCUUGCUGUCGCUCUAGCGCCUCUUGGAGCCUUUGGAUCUGCUCCCCUUGGCGCUGAACAGACUCCGCU